UAUAUCUUUUUUCUAAAAUCAGAAUAAUGCCAUAUAUAGUAUUGUAUCCUGCCCUUUUCACUUAACAUAAAAUUGUGAGAAUUUUCCGGUGUCAUCAGAUGUUCUUGAAACAACCUUUAGUGCCUGCACAGUAGUUCAUGGAAUGCACAUUAUUUAAUUAUUAUCCUGUUACUAGACAAUCAAAUUACAUUCAGUUUUUUCCUACUGUAACACUGUGAUGGGGAUCCUUGUUAAACACACUUUUGAGUCUUUCUCUGACUUCAUGGGAUAACUGGAUUGAAGGGUAUGAUUUUCAAGGUUCUUGUUAUACAAGACCAAAUGGCUUCCAGGAGCGUUGUACCAACUCCUAUCCGCAGAUGGGCAGCUUUAAAGAAAUUACCCAGUGCCUGUGCAGUAUGUUACGUACCGUCAUCAUCAGUACAUAAACGUUGAAUGAAUUUGUCGUCUAAUGACAGUCCUACAGCGCAUGGGACUCAUUUAAAUGAAGAGAUUACUAUUUUUUAAAAAAAGAGUGCAUGUACCGAGACACGUUCUUGACUCACACCCCAACUUCCUCCUGGAAUCUCCUUUUCCUGUUUUCACAGUUGGCAAUCUGACAGCUCAUACCUCCUAUGAGAUUUCUGCCUGGGCCAAGACUGACUUGGGGGAUAGCCCUCUGGCAUUUGAGCAUGUCGUGACCAGAGGGAUUCGCCCACCUGCACCUAGCCUCAAGGCCAAAGCCAUCAACCAGACUGCAGUGGAAUGUACCUGGACCGGCCCCCGGAAUGUGGUUUAUGGUAUUUUCUAUGCCACGUCCUUUCUUGACCUCUAUCGCAACCCAAAGAGCUUGACUACUUCACUCCACAACAAGACGGUCAUUGUCAGUAAGGAUGAGCAGUAUUUGUUUCUGGUCCGGGUAGUGGUACCCUACCAGGGGCCGUCCUCUGACUACGUUGUAGUGAAGAUGAUCCCGGACAGCAGGCUUCCACCCCGUCGCCUGCAUGUGGUUCAUAUGGGCAAAACCUCCGUGGUCAUCAAGUGGGAAUCACCGUAUGACUCUCCUGACCAGGACUUGUUGUAUGCAAUUGCAGUUAAAGAUCUAAUAAGAAAGACUGACAGGAGCUACAAAGUAAAAUCCCGUAAUAGUACUGUGGAAUACACCCUUAACAAGUUGGAACCUGGCGGGAAAUACCACAUCAUUGUCCAACUGGGGAACAUGAGCAAAGAUUCCAGCAUAAAAAUUACCACAGUUUCGUUGUCAGCACCUGAUGCCUUAAAAAUCAUAACAGAAAAUGACCAUGUUCUUCUGUUUUGGAAAAGCCUGGCUUUAAAGGAAAAGCAUUUUAAUGAAAGCAGGG
rnacentral:sRNA from 1 species